AUUCAGAGCUUGCGUUCUGUGGGUUGUAUGAUAAAGCUGUAAAACAUGUAAGAAUGGUUUUGCAAGUCUGAAUCGUUGAAGGCAGCAAUAAGUGGAUUUAGAGCCUGUUCUUGAGCAGACAAAGGGAAAAAGUGUGACUCUGAUGCUGAACUUGUCAUUUUUCAUUUGACUUGUCUUGAAUGAUUUAGGAAUAGAGAGAACUAGAAAAAGAGAGAAAUAGAAUCGAUUAUUGAGCAGUCCUCAAAUGCUCACCAUAAUUCAGUGUAGAGCCAAAGGGAAGGGUGAUGGAACAGAGCUCUGUGCUUUGGAAGGAAAUAAAUUUAAACCUGAUCUCCGCACAGAGUCUCACUAACUUCUGUGGUUUUAAAAUACAAAAUACGUUUAGGAAGUGUUGGAAGUUAGUAUUUUGGGAAAGAAACGGCAGUUCCACAGAACAUUCCAUUUCACAGAGGCUCUAGGAAGGAUUCAUGUUGUAACUGCUGUCACUGCAAUCAGUUGGUGGUUCAGCCUUGAAACGUGCACUUGGCCUUCUAUAAAGCGCUGUUUUGUUUGCCUUUCAUUGCUAUGAGUCUUGAUAAAUUGGAGAAGAGCCCAAGAGAAAUUUUUCAUCCCUUGAUAUAAAAGGGAUCGGUGAAUUUUAACUUUGGAGUCCUCUAUGCUAAGGAUGCUCAGCUUACAGAUGAUGAAAUGUUCAGUAAUGGUGAGUUUUUCACGUUCUCUUUAAUUGCUGUGCUGAUCUGAAUAAGAAAAAAACAAAAGCAAGAGGGAAAAAAAAGGAUGGUUUAUUAUUUUUUACGCUGUUAUGUUUGUUUCCUCAGUAUUUGCUGCAGCUCUGCUUACCCAAGCUUUGUGUUCCUUCUGUCCCACUGGGAGUUGCCCAGUUUGGUUGCAUCUGGUGAAAUUCACCCUGAGACCUUACACAACUAGCUCAAACUACGUGAGAGCCAUUUGCAGUUCUCUCCAGACACCUGGAGAAUGGGUGACGUUUCUGAGGGUCUGGCAAGUGUACUUCUAUCAAAACUCAGUCUGUGAAGUUUCUGGGGAAAACCCUUCUGUGUCCUGAAGGGUUCAAACUCCUGUGAGGAUCCAUUUAUCAGGUGCUCACCUGGAUGGUUCCAGCUCUUAAAGUGAACACUUGUACUCUUACCCUGUAGUUUACAUCUAUUGUAUUUUUGUUAUUUUGCAAGAUUUUUUGUCUUUGCAAAAUAUUGUGCAUUUCACUCUUUGGAACCUCUCAGAUGGUUCUUUGGUGCAGCACCACCCCAUGGGACACUUGGCUGCUGUCCUGAAGGGGAUGGUCGCUAGAAUUGUAAAUUCUGGAGAGUUUAUAAGUCUUCUGUCCCCAGGGAGGUACCAUGCUUUGUUUACUUUUGUUCUGUUUGUUAGGCGCUGCUUCUCGUUGCAAGUAUGAAUUUCAAACUGCCCUGUUCUUAUUUUAACUGUUUUCCUGGUUCUCUCCGUCCGACAGGGAAAGACUCUCAUAUCCUCGUCGUCGGGCUCGGUGCUGUCCAAGAAGAUACAGAGACUAAAAAAAUCAUAAGCAGCAAAAUAUGACUGCAGGGAAAAGAAGCUGGAGAGAACAGAAGGCUGCCAUUUGUGUGCCAUCGGUACUCACCAUGGAAGCGAGCUGGGGAUUGUUGCACCCGUUGGGAACAAACCGCUUCUUGUCACACAGAAAUGGAAUUGGGACGACGCCUCGGCCAGCCCCUCUCUGCCAUCGUCUCCUGAAUCUGCAGCAGAGCAGUUCCAGUCCAUCCGGGCACGUGCAAUCCAGUUCCUGAUGAUCUGAGCACACGGAGCAGCGCUCAGCUGCUGUGGGGGGCUCAGGGAAGGCAGUGUGUGCAUUGUCAUCUUCCUGAACCUACAGACAAAUCAAAGUGAGAAGCCACAGGGUGGAAAUCAGUUGCAUAUAUGCUAAACAAAACUUGCAGGUUGUUUUUAAGAAUUGUUUUUGCUUGUUCUUUGUUGUGCUUCUGUGCUUAGAAAACCUCCCUUUAAAAUCAGUUCAGUUCAUCAGUUGAACCUUUGUUUGCAGACCCUCAGUGAGCAGAAUUUGUUGCAGACUCAGUGCACGCUGUGCCGGCCUCCCGGGAGUGUGAGGAGCUCAUGUGUGCUACUUUUUGCUUUAGGACGCUCUGAGGUAUUUAUUCCUUUUGGGAUACGUGAUGAGAAUUCCCAAGAGAGGUAGUUAUAAGGUAUGACAUUGGGAAAAAGCCUGUGUGGUUGGAAUGUUGUUGCUGUCAAAAGUUAAUUUUUCCUUCAUU